rnacentral:rRNA from 1 species
UGAGGAAUUUUGCGCAAUGGGGGAAGCCCUGACGCAGCAACGCCGCGUGGGUGAUGAAGGCCUUCGGGUCGUAAAGCCCUGUCGGGCGGGAAGAACGUCCCCUUUGGGGAGUGACGGUACCGCCAGAGGAAGCACCGGCUAACUCCGUGCCAGCAGCCGCGGUAAUACGGAGGGUGCAAGCGUUAUUCGGAAUUACUGGGCGUAAAGGGCGUGGAGGCGGGAGAGCAAGUCUGAUGUGAAAGCCCGGGGCUUAACCCCGGAAGGGCAUUGGAAACUGUGGGACUUGAGUACUGGAGAGGAUGGGGGAAUUCCCGGUGUAGAGGUGAAAUUCGUAGAGAUCGGGAGGAAUAUCAGUGGCGAAGGCGCCCAUCUGGACGGUAACUGACGCUGAGACGCGAAAGCGUGGGGAGCAAACA